GACGAACGCUGGCGGCGUGCUUAACACAUGCAAGUCGAACGGAAAGGCCCUGCUUUUGUGGGGUGCUCGAGUGGCGAACGGGUGAGUAACACGUGAGUAACCUGCCCUUGACUUUGGGAUAACUUCAGGAAACUGGGGCUAAUACCGGAUAGGAGCUCCUGCUGCAUGGUGGGGGUUGGAAAGUUUCGGCGGUUGGGGAUGGACUCGCGGCUUAUCAGCUUGUUGGUGGGGUAGUGGCUUACCAAGGCUUUGACGGGUAGCCGGCCCGAGAGGGUGACCGGCCACAUUGGGACUGAGAUACGGCCCAGACUCCUACGGGAGGCAGCAGUGGGGAAUAUUGCACAAUGGGCGGAAGCCUGAUGCAGCAACGCCGCGUGCAGGAUGACGGCCUUCGGGUUGUAAACCGCUUUCGCCUGUGACGAAGCGUGAGUGACGGUAAUGGGUAAAGAAGCACCGGCUAACUACGUG
rnacentral:rRNA from 1 species